UUUGAGGGAAGCUGCUCCUAGUACGAGAGGACCGGAGUGGACGAUCCUCUGGUGUUCCGGUUGUCACGCCAGUGGCAUUGCCGGGUAGCUAUGAUCGGACAGGAUAACCGCUGAAAGCAUCUAAGCGGGAAGCCCCUCCCAAGAUUAGAUCUCACUGGAGCCUCGAGCUCCCUGAAGGUCCGUCGAAGACUACGACGUUGAUAGGCUGGGUGUGGAAGCGUAGUAAUGCGUGAAGCUAACCAGUACUAAUUGACCGUGAGGCUUGACCAUAUAACACCCAAG
rnacentral:rRNA from 1 species